UACGGGGGGGGCAAGCGUUGUUCGGAAUUACUGGGCGUAAAGGGCUCGUAGGCGGCCAACUAAGUCGGAUGUGAAAUCCCCAGGCUCAACUUGGGAACUGCAUCCGAUACUGGAUGGCUUGAAUUCGGGAGAGGGAUGCAGAAUUCCAGGUGUAGCGGUGAAAUGCGUAGAUAUCUGGAGGAACACCGGUGGCGAAGGCGGCAUCCUGGACCGGUAUUGACGCUGAGGAGCGAAAGCCAGGGGAGCAAACGGG
rnacentral:rRNA from 1 species